rnacentral:lncRNA from 1 species
ACCAUUAAAUGAAUUCCUCGGUGUGGUGAUGGCUCUAAGCUAGAAAUACAAUGUUAUUGUUCAAAUUAAUUUUGGAGGGCUCUCUCAUCCCUGUGCCAGAUGCCGNCUGUGGAACUGCAGAGGAGCUCAGCGCUGUGGGAUGGCAGAGGAGCUCAGCGCUGUGGAACUGCAGAGGAGCUCAGCGCUGUGGAACUGCACAGGAGCUCAGCUGUGUGGGACGGCAGCAGAGCUCAGCUCUGUGGAACUGCAGAGGAGCUCAGCGCUGUGGAACUGCAGAGGAGCUCAGCGCUGUGGGAUGGCAGAGGAGCUCAGCUGUGCCCCUCUGCAGCCAAACAAAACCAGCCGGGACUGCCGGGGCCGGAGUCAGCUGAACUGAAACCUGGGUGGGAGCUGUACAAUAGUGAUCCCCACUCUCCCACAGGAACAGUCACCACGCAGGGGAGGGCUGCUAACGAGAAACUAAAAGGUGUAUCGUUCGUCUUGGCAGGUACUACCAGAGGAGUGUGACAGAGUUACUUUAUCCCCGUAAAACAGCGUGCUGGAAACAACAGUACAAGAGGAAGACGCGCACCGACCACAGGAAACCUGUUACACACCACUCUGCAGGUAAAAAAGUGUCACUUGGUUUGAAGCUUGGAAAACAAACACAACAAGAUCAGGAUGCAUCACCGUCCACAAACGUGACCGACAACUCACACUGGGGGUUUAAAAUGUAUCAGACACUACAUUUUAAUUGUCUCCUUCUGCAUGUCAGGGUGGCAGCUGGGCAGAGGCUUCAGGAGCACACAAACCUUUGCACAAACCCACAGGUAUUUCACAAAGAAAGGCUGUGCUUCAUCAGACACCUUUACUCUCCCCCAAACACUCCAGAGGCUGCUGUCCAGAGGCUCAGUCCUGCUCCUGCUGCUUUUAAGGAAGCAAGGAUUGGACAAACCCUGGAAAACUGACCUCAGCCAAGCUCCUGAUCCUCUCAGAAGGGCUCUGCAUAGCCCAAGGAGACAUGGAAGACAGUCCUUGACAAAAUCAUUUGGAGGGCGAGUCACGGGGGCUGUGUGACAAGCUACAACACUGGUGGUCCUUCAGGUGAUGUAUUUUUUUAACUUACGCUAUGUAACAUGACAAAAUGCAUCCUGGUGACACCUGUUUCCCUUUGCAUACUGUCUAAGAAAAUUUUCUGUACAGAUAAAGACCAGUAAAUAUUUUGAAUAAACCAGCAAACAGAAAAAAAUCGUGUUAAGUA